CUACGGGGGGCACCAGUGAGGAAUAUUGCACAAUGGGGGGAACCCUGAUGCAGCAACGCCGCGUGGAGGAUGACACUUUUCGGAGCGUAAACUCCUUUUAUAUAGGAAGAAGAUGACGGUACUAUAUGAAUAAGCGCCGGCUAACUCCGUGCCAGCAGCCGCGGUAAUACGGAGGGCGCAAGCGUUACUCGGAAUCACUGGGCGUAAAGAGCGUGUAGGUGGAUUAAAAAGUCAGAAGUGAAAUCCUAUAGCUUAACUAUAGAACUGCUUCUGAAACUCUUAAUCUAGAAUAUGGGAGAGGUAGAUGGAAUUUCUGGUGUAGGGGUAAAAUCCGUAGAGAUCAGAAGGAAUACCGAUUGCGAAGGCGAUCUACUAGAACAUUAUUGACGCUGAGACGCGAAAGCGUGGGGAGCAAACAGGAUUAGAUACCCUUGUAGUC
rnacentral:rRNA from 1 species